rnacentral:rRNA from 1 species
UACGUAGGGCGCAAGCGUUAUCCGGAAUUAUUGGGCGUAAAGAGCUCGUAGGCGGUUUGUCGCGUCUGCCGUGAAAGUCCGGGGCUCAACUCCGGAUCUGCGGUGGGUACGGGGCAAGACUAGAGUGAUGUAGGGGAGACUGGAAUUCCUGGUGUAGCGGUGAAAUGCGCAGAUAUCAGGAGGAACACCGGUGGCGAAGGCGGGUCUCUGGGCAACAACUGACGCUGAGGAGCGAAAGCGUGGGGAGCGAACAGG